GCCCUCGGUGGUUCAGCUGGGUAGAGCGUUUGCCUAGUAAGCAAGAGAUCCCGGGUUCGAGUCCCUGUCGGGGCA